rnacentral:rRNA from 1 species
CUGGCUCAGGACGAACGCUGGCGGCGUGCUUAACACAUGCAAGUCGAACGGAAAGGCCCCUUCGGGGGUACUCGAGUGGCGAACGGGUGAGUAACACGUGGGCAAUCUGCCCUGCACUUCGGGAUAAGCCUGGGAAACUGGGUCUAAUACCGGAUAGGACCUUUAGGCGCAUGCCUUUUGGUGGAAAGCUUUUGCGGUGUGGGAUGGGCCCGCGGCCUAUCAGCUUGUUGGUGGGGUGAUGGCCUACCAAGGCGACGACGGGUAGCCGGCCUGAGAGGGUGUCCGGCCACACUGGGACUGAGAUACGGCCCAGACUCCUACGGGAGGCAGCAGUGGGGAAUAUUGCACAAUGGGCGCAAGCCUGAUGCAGCGACGCCGCGUGGGGGAUGACGGCCUUCGGGUUGUAAACCUCUUUCACCAUCGACGAAGGUCCGGGUUUUCUCGGAUUGACGGUAGGUGGAGAAGAAGCACCGGCCAACUACGUGCCAGCAGCCGCGGUAAUACGUAGGGUGCGAGCGUUGUCCGGAAUUACUGGGCGUAAAGAGCUCGUAGGUGGUUUGUCGCGUUGUUCGUGAAAUCUCACGGCUUAACUGUGAGCGUGCGGGCGAUACGGGCAGACUAGAGUACUGCAGGGGAGACUGGAAUUCCUGGUGUAGCGGUGGAAUGCGCAGAUAUCAGGAGGAACACCGGUGGCGAAGGCGGGUCUCUGGGCAGUAACUGACGCUGAGGAGCGAAAGCGUGGGGAGCGAACAGGAUUAGAUACCCUGGUAGUCCACGCCGUAAACGGUGGGUACUAGGUGUGGGUUUCCUUCCUUGGGAUCCGUGCCGUAGCUAACGCAUUAAGUACCCCGCCUGGGGAGUACGGCCGCAAGGCUAAAACUCAAAGGAAUUGACGGGGGCCCGCACAAGCGGCGGAGCAUGUGGAUUAAUUCGAUGCAACGCGAAGAACCUUACCUGGGUUUGACAUGCACAGGACG